rnacentral:rRNA from 2 species
UACGAAGGGGGCUAGCGUUGUUCGGAAUUACUGGGCGUAAAGCGCGCGCAGGCGGCUAUCCAAGUCAGUGGUGAAAGCCCGGAGCUCAACUCCGGAACUGCCAUUGAAACUGUUUAGCUUGAGGACGAGAGAGGUGAGUGGAAUUCCCAGUGUAGAGGUGAAAUUCGUAGAUAUUGGGAAGAACACCGGUGGCGAAGGCGGCUCACUGGCUCGUAUCUGACGCUCAGGCGCGACAGCGUGGGGAUCAAACAGG